AUUGAACGCUGGCGGCAGGCCUAACACAUGCAAGUCGAGCGGUAGAGAGAAGCUUGCUUCUCUUGAGAGCGGCGGACGGGUGAGUAAUGCCUAGGAAUCUGCCUAGGGGUGGGGGAUGACGUUCGGAAACGGACGCGAAUACCGCAUACGUCCUACGGGAGAAAGCGGGGGAUCUUCGGACCUCGAGCCAUUAGAUGAGCCUAGGUCGGAUUAGCUAGUUGGUGAGGUAAUGGCUCACCAAGGCGACGAUCCGUAACUGGUCUGAGAGGAUGAUCAGUCACACUGGAACUGAGACACGGUCCAGACUCCUACGGGAGGCAGCAGUGGGGAAUAUUGGACAAUGGGCGAAAGCCUGAUCCAGCCAUGCCGCGUGUGUGAAGAAGGUCUUCGGAUUGUAAAGCACUUUAAGUUGGGAGGAAGUGCAGUAACCUAAUACGUUAUUGUUUUGACGUUACCGACAGAAUAAGCACCGGCUAACUUCGUGCCAGCAGCCGCAGUAACAC
rnacentral:rRNA from 1 species